AAGUCGUAACAAGGUUUCCGUAGGUGAACCUGCGGAAGGAUCAUUUCCAAAAAAAACAAACAAUAUAAACCAACCUUUGUGAAGAGUUUUAUAUUCUUUUUUUACUUUGGGUGUGGGGAAAAAGUGUGCUUUGGGUGUUGAAGAAAAUGCGAAACACCUUUAUCGUAGGCGUUUAGCAUCAAAAUCACAUCAGAAAGUACAUGUACAUUACCCCACCCAAAGGCCAUGAUGAACUACCUCUUUGAGGUUGAUGUCCUAUUUAUAUUUUUCAAUCAUACGAAAGUAUAUAACAAAUGACAUGACAACUUUUAACGGUGGAUCUCUUGGCUCGU
rnacentral:misc_RNA from 1 species